UACGUAGGUCCCGAGCGUUGUCCGGAUUUAUUGGGCGUAAAGCGAGCGCAGGUGGUUUAUUAAGUCUGGUGUAAAAGGCAGUGGCUCAACCAUUGUAUGCAUUGGAAACUGGUAGACUUGAGUGCAGGAGAGGAGAGUGGAAUUCCAUGUGUAGCGGUGAAAUGCGUAGAUAUAUGGAGGAACACCGGUGGCGAAAGCGGCUCUCUGGCCUGUAACUGACACUGAGGCUCGGAAGCGCAGGGAGCAAACAGG
rnacentral:rRNA from 1 species